rnacentral:rRNA from 1 species
CAGAGAAUUUCCGUUAUGGCUCCAGAUUGAACGCUGGCGGGAUGCUUUACACAUGCAAGUCGAACGGCAGCACGGACUUCGGUCUGGUGAGUAGUGGGUGAGUAAUGUAUCGGGAACGUGCCUAAAGUAUAGGGAUAACCGCGGCGUAGCUAAUACCGCAUACGCCCUUCGGGGGAAAGCGGGGGACCUUCGGGCCUCGCACUAUUAGAGCGGCCGAUAUUAUCGGAUUAGCUAGUUGGUACAGGAGUAACGGCUCACCAAGGCGACGAUCCGUAGCUGGUUUGAGAGGACGACCAGCCACACUGGGACUGAGACACGGCCCAGACUCCUACGGGAGGCAGCAGUGGGGAAUUUUGGACAAUGGGGGAAACCCUGAUCCAGCCAUCCCGCGUGUGCGAUGAAGGCCUUCGGGUUGUAAAGCACUUUUGGCAGGGGGAAAGAAACGGCCUGGGAUAAUACCCCGUGCAGCUGACAGUACCUGCAGAAUAACCACUAAUAACUACGUGCCAGCAGCCGCGGUAAUACGUAGGGUGCAAGCGUUAAUCGGAAUUGCUGGGCGUAAAGCGUGCGCAGGCGGUUCGGAAAAGAAAGAUGCUUGAAAUCCCAGAGCUUAACUUUGGAACUGCAUUUUUAACUACCGAGCUGAGUGUGGGGAGAUGGAUUGCCGUGUAGCAGUGAAAUGCGUAGAUAUGCGGAGGGAACACCGAUAGCGAAGGCAGCCUCCUGGGAUAACACUGACGCUCAUGCACGAAAGCGUGGGAGCAAACGGGAUUAGAUACCCUGGUAGUCCACGCCCUAAACGAUGUCAGCCAGCUGUUGGGGCCUUCGGGCCUUGGUAGCGCAGCUAACGCGUGAAGUUGACCGCCUGGGAGUAUUACGGUCGCAAGAUUAAAACUCAAAGGAAUUGACGGGGACCCGCACAAGCGGUGGAUGAUGUGGAUUGAAUCGUGCAACGCGAAAAACCUUACCUACCUUGACAUGUCUCACAAGUCCGAAGAGAUUUGGGAGUGCUCGCAAAACCGGAACACAGGUGCUGCAUGGCUGUCGUCAGCUCGUGUCGUGAGAUGUUGGGUUAAGUCCCGCAACGAGCGCAACCCUUGUCAUUAGUUGCUACGAAAGGGCACUCUAAUGAGACUGCCGGUGACAAACCGGAGGAAGGUGGGGAUGACGUCAAGUCCUCAUGGCCCUUAUGGGUAGGGCUUACACGUCAUACAAUGGUCGGGACAGAGGGUCGCCAAUACGAGAAGGCUAAUCAGAAACGAUCGUAGUCCAGAUCAUAGUCUGCAACUCGACUGCGUGAUCAGAAUCGCUAGUAAUCGCGGAUCGGCAGCCUUCGCGGUGAAUACGUUCCCGGGUCUUGUACACACCGCCCGUCACACCAUGGGAGUGGGUUUUACCAGAAAAUAGUUAGCCUAACCGUAGGCAGUUACCACGGUAGGAUUCAUGACUGGGGGUGGGGAAGUCGUAACAAAGGUAG